UACGUAGGGGGCAAGCGUUGUCCGGAUUUAUUGGGCGUAAAGAGUGUGUAGGCGGCCAUUCAGGUCAGCUGUGAAAACUCGAGGCUCAACCUCGAGACGUCGGUUGAAACCGUUUGGCUAGAGUCCGGAAGAGGAGAGUGGAACUCCCGGUGUAGCGGUGAAAUGCGCAGAUAUCGGGAGGAACACCAAUGGCGAAGGCAGCUUGCUGGGACGGUACUGACGCUGAGGCGCGAAAGCGUGGGGAGCAAACAGG
rnacentral:rRNA from 1 species